rnacentral:rRNA from 1 species
UACGUAGGGGGCGAGCGUUGUCCGGAAUUAUUGGGCGUAAAGAGCGUGUAGGCGGCCAGGUAGGUCUGCUGUGAAAACUCGAGGCUCAACCUCGAGAUGUCGGCGGAAACCAUCUGGCUAGAGUCCGGAAGAGGAAAGUGGAAUUCCUGGUGUAGCGGUGGAAUGCGCAGAUAUCAGGAGGAACACCUAUAGCGAAGGCAGCUUGCUGGGACGUUACUGACGCUAAGGCGCGAAAGCGUGGGGAGCGAACAGG